AAAAGUAGUGAAGCGUGUGAGCCAUGUGCCGAGAAAAGCUGCUAUUGUGUAAUGCGUGCCCGUACCGUAAACCGACACAGGUGGAUGAGGAGAGAAUCCUAAGGCCGGCGGAAGAAGCAUUGUUAAGGAAUUCGGCAAAAUGACCCCGUAACUUCGGGAGAAGGGGUGCCUGCGAGAGCAGGCCGCAGAGAAUAGGCUCAAGCAACUGUUUAGCAAAAACACAGGUCUAUGCGAAACCGAAAGGUGAAGUAUAUGGGCUGACGCCUGCCCGGUGCUGGAAGGUUAAGAGGAGAGGUUAGCUUCGGCGAAGCUUUGAAUUUAAGCCCCAGUAAACGGCGGCCGUAACAAUAACGGUCCUAAGGUAGCGAAAUUCCUUGUCGGGUAAGUUCCGACCCGCACGAAAGGCGUAAUGAUUUGAGCACUGUCUCGACAAUGCAUCCGGUGAAAUUGAAGUACCAGUGAAGAUGCUGGUUACCCGCGCCAGGACGGAAAGACCCCAUGGAGCUUUACUCCAGUUUGAUACUGGGAUUCGGUACUGCAUGUACAGGAUAGGUGGGAGACGAAGAAGGAUGGACGCCAGUCUGUCCGGAGUCGCUGUUGGGAUACCACCCCUGUAGUACUGGGUUUCUAACCAGUUGCCAUGAACUGGCAAUGGGACAAUGUCAGGCGGGGAGUUUGACUGGGGCGGUCGCCUCCGAAAGGGUAUCGGAGGCGCUCAAAGGUUCCCUCAGAAUGGUUGGAAACCAUUUGAAGAGUGCAAAGGCAGAAGGGAGCUUGACUGCGACACCGACGGGUGGAGCAGGUACGAAAGUAGGACUUAGUGAUCCGGUGGUAUAAAGUGGGAUUGCCAUCGCUCAACGGAUAAAAGCUACCCUGGGAUAACAUGCUUAUCACUCCCAAGAGUUCACAUCGACGGAGUGGUUUGGCACCUCGAUGUCGGCUCAUCGCAUCCUGGGGCUGUAGCAGGUCCCAAGGGUUGGGCUGUUCGCCCAUUAAAGCGGUACGCGAGCUGGGUUCAGAACGUCGUGAGACAGUUCGGUCCCUAUCCGGCGCGGGCGGAGGAUAUUUGAGAGGAGCUGUCCUUAGUACGAGAGGACCGGGAUGGACGGACCACUGGUGUAUCUGUUGUCGACCAACGGCAUGGCAGAGUAGCCAAGUCUGGAAGGGAUAAACGCUGAAGGCAUCUAAGCGUGAAGCCCCCCUCAAGAUGAGAUAUCCCUCCUUCGGGAGUAAGACCCCUUGAAGACUACAAGGUAGAUAGGGCAGAGGUGGAAGCAUGGCAACAUGUGGAGCUGACUGUUACUAAUAGGUCGAGGGCUUAAU
rnacentral:rRNA from 1 species